CACAGACUCCUACGGGAGGCAGCAGUGGGGAAUAUUGCACAAUGGGGGAAACCCUGACCCAGCGACGCCGCGUGAGGGAAGAAGGUUUUCGGAUUGUAAACCUCUGUCCUUGGUGACGAUAAUGACGGUAGCCAAGGAGGAAGCCACGGCUAACUACGUGCCAGCAGCCGCGGUAAUACGUAGGUGGCGAGCGUUGUCCGGAAUUACUGGGUGUAAAGGGAGCGUAGGUGGCAUAGUAAGUAGCUAGUGAAAUCUGGUGGCUCAACCAUUCAGACUAUUAGCUAAACUGCUAAGCUCGAGACCGUUAGGGGUAACUGGAAUUUCUAGUGUAGGAGUGAAAUCCGUAGAUAUUAGAAGGAACACCGAUAGCGCAGGCAGGUUACUGGGACGGUUCUGACACUAAGGCACGAAAGCGUAGGGAGCAAACGGGAUUAGAUACCCGAGUACG
rnacentral:rRNA from 1 species